rnacentral:tRNA from 1 species
GGAUUAUGGCUCAGCGGUAGAGUGCUCGCCUAGCACAAGCGGGACCCGGGUUCGAUUCUCAGCACCA